rnacentral:rRNA from 1 species
AUUGAACGCUGGCGGCAGGCUUAACACAUGCAAGUCGAACGGUAACAUAAAGAAGCUUGCUUCUUUGAUGACGAGUGGCGGACGGGUGAGUAAUGCUUGGGAAUCUAGCUUAUGGAGGGGGAUAACUACGGGAAACUGUAGCUAAUACCGCGUAGAAUCGAGAGAUGAAAGUGUGGGACCUUCGGGCCACAUGCCAUAGGAUGAGCCCAAGUGGGAUUAGGUAGUUGGUGAGGUAAAGGCUCACCAAGCCGACGAUCUCUAGCUGGUCUGAGAGGAUGACCAGCCACACUGGGACUGAGACACGGCCCAGACUCCUACGGGAGGCAGCAGUGGGGAAUAUUGCGCAAUGGGGGCAACCCUGACGCAGCCCUGCCGCGUGAAUGAAGAAGGCCUUCGGGUUGUAAAGUUCUUUCGGUAGCGAGGAAGG